UUUUAUGGAGAGUUUGAUCCUGGCUCAGAGUGAACGCUGGCGGCGUGCCUAAUACAUGCAAGUCGAACGAUGAAGCAACUAGCUUGCUAGUUGUGGAUUAGUGGCGCACGGGUGAGUAAGGUAUAGUUAAUCUGCCCUACACAAGAGGACAACAGUUGGAAACG
rnacentral:rRNA from 1 species